GGAUGUAGCUCAGUGGUAGAAUGUGUGCUUAGCAUGCAUGAAGUUCUGUGUUCAAUCCCCAGAACCA
rnacentral:tRNA from 1 species